rnacentral:rRNA from 1 species
UGGGGAAUAUUGGACAAUGGGCGCAAGCCUGAUCCAGCAAUUCCGCGUGGGUGAAGAAGGUCUUCGGAUUGUAAAGCCCUUUCGGCAGGGACGAUGAUGACGGUACCUGCAGAAGAAGCCCCGGCUAACUUCGUGCCAGCAGCCGCGGUAAUACGAAGGGGGCUAGCGUUGCUCGGAAUGACUGGGCGUAAAGGGCGCGUAGGCGGCACACACAGUCAGGCGUGAAAUUCCUGGGCUUAACCUGGGGGCUGCGCUUGAUACAUGUGAGCUAGAGGAUGGAAGAGGCUCGUGGAAUUCCCAGUGUAGAGGUGAAAUUCGUAGAUAUUGGGAAGAACACCGGUGGCGAAAGCGGCUCUCUGGCCUGUAACUGACACUGAGGCUCGAAAGCGUGGGGAGCAAACAGGAUUAGAUACCC